ACGGGAGGCGGCAGUGGGGAAUAUUGGGCAAUGGGCGAAAGCCUGACCCAGCAACGCCGCGUGAAGGAAGAAGGUCUUCGGAUUGUAAACUUCUUUUAUGAGGGACGAAGGACGUGACGGUACCUCAUGAAUAAGCCACGGCUAACUACGUGCCAGCAGCCGCGGUAAUACGUAGGUGGCAAGCGUUAUCCGGAUUUACUGGGUGUAAAGGGCGCGUAGGCGGGAGAGCAAGUCAGAUAUGAAAUCCAUGGGCUUAACCCAUGAACUGCAUUUGAAACUGUUCUUCUUGAGUGCUGGAGAGGUAGACGGAAUUCCUUGUGUAGCGGUGAAAUGCGUAGAUAUAAGGAAGAACACCAGUGGCGAAGGCGGUCUACUGGACAGUAACUGACGCUGAGGCGCGAAAGCGUGGGGAGCAAACAGGAUUAGAUACCCUGGUA
rnacentral:rRNA from 1 species